UCCGUGUUAGCUCAUAAUGGGUUAGCUGACCCGCCCAAGGUUAGCCCUACACCCUCUAUUGUGAUGGCCUUACAGAGCAGCAAGCAGUCAGUGCAGACAGACAGAUUCACCCUAGAGCAGCUUUAACUCCUAGCACAGGUGGGCCAUCUAUCCAACGCCGGGGAACACUGUCUCAGCCUGCAUCACAGGAGGAGGGCAGAAGCUCAACAGAACAUCUAAGCAGAAGACCUGCUGGGUGCAACUUCUCUGGCCCAAAAGGAAAACUAAGGUCGAGAACCAACCUAGAGGCCCAGACAGUGUUGUUUCUCUGUAUAGCCCUGACCUUCAUAGAACUCCAUCUAUAGACCAGGCUGGCAUCGAACCCAGACAUCCACCUGCUUCUGCCUCUCCAAUGCUAGAAUCAAAGGUGUGUGCCAUCA